rnacentral:lncRNA from 1 species
GGAGGACAAAGGCUUUUUUCCUUGGACUUGACAUUAAAUAAAAUCUUUUUGUCUCUGAGAUGAAGCUCCCUUUGAGCUAGGAGUAGGGCAACAGAGUUCAAGCCUGCUGUCCUGAAAAAUGCAUCCUUACUGCUCAAUCUGCUAUUAUAAUUAAGUACUUACUUGGAUUGAAGGAGUAUUUAAAGAUGUUUUUGGAGUUGGACUAAAUGGAAUCUCUAUGGAAAAAGGUUUUUAUUUAAUUUUUGGAAUCUGUUGAGGUAAGAUAAAGAAGUGGAACCCACUUAAUUAAUUGGUUUAUUUAUCUGGGUUUUCUGGAAGUUAAUGUAUGUAGAGUUCUGAAUUUUUUAAUAAAAUUUGAUCGUUUAUCAUCAGCGUGCAAGAGGUAUUUCAAGGUCUUAUUUCCAGGUUCCAUGUUUUUUAUCGUUGUAUUUGAUGUUAUUUCCUUCGACAGGCCAUUGAUAAUGUUAAUGAGAGUAUAUCUCCCAUACUUGCUCCUCAGAGAAUAUGAAAUUUCACGAAUGAACACGGUAUAUCUAUUCUUGAUGAGGAGUUUUAUCUUUAGCAUCAAAGCUAGUAGUGAACACUUACUUAUAAGAUCUGGAACGAAUCCUAUUUUGAAAAUAUUAUAGAAGACCUUUUCAGGAAUGGGUCCUAGUGGAGUACCUAAAAACAUUCGAAAGGUAGCCCGAAAAGCCCUGGAGAUUUCAAUUGACUAUCAUAUUCUCAGCUCUUUGAAUAUUUUGGAGGAUUUGCAUGCUAUUUAUCGAAAUUCCUCUAUGUGACAUUCCUUAUUGGCUUGAGCGUAAAUAAAGAUAUUGAAACUCUGAAAUAGUUCAAGUUGGAAUAAAGAGCACCUGAGAUGAUACCCCCAAAUGCAUACAAAACCGAGUUAACAAUUAGACCCUCGAGUCGGAGUUUCAAUCAGUCAAUGUUUCAUUCUUCAGUAGUUAACACCACUAAAGCCAUGCCUCCAGUUCCAAAUAAUAAAGUUGUUAAAAGCAAGAAAUUUCAUGUUGGUAGAUAUAAGAAAAGACAGCAUAGACGUCGGGAAUUCGCAUCAAGUAAAUACAACACCGA